AGGCUAGAGUGCAGGAGAGGAAGGGUGGAUUCCCGGGUGUAGCGGUGAAAUGCGUAGAGAUCGGGAGGAAUACCAGUGGCGAAGGCGGCCUUCUGGACUGACACUGACGCUGAGGCGCGAAAGCGUGGGUAGCAAACAGGAUUAGAUACCCUGGUAGUCCACGCCGUAAACGAUGUCGACCAGCCGUUGGACCCCUUGAGGGUCUGGUGGCGCAGUUAACGCAAUAAGUCGACCGCCUGGGGAGUACGGCCGCAAGGCUAAAACUCAAAUGAAUUGACGGGGGCCCGCACAAGCGGUGGAGCAUGUGGUUUAAUUCGAUGCAACGCGAAGAACCUUACCUGCCCUUGACAUCCUGCGAACCCGGAAGAGAUUCCGGGGUGCCUUCGGGAACGCAGAGACAGGUGCUGCAUGGCUGUCGUCAGCUCGUGUUGUGAAAUGUUGGGUUAAGUCCCGUAACGAGCGCAACCCCUAUCCCUUUUUGCCAGCGGUCCGGCCGGGAACUUCAGGGAGACUGCCGGUGACAAACCGGAGGAAGGUGGGGACGACGUCAAGUCAUCAUGGCCCUUACGGGCAGGGCUACACACGUGCUACAAUGGCCGGUACAAAGGGUUGCGAAGCGGCGACGUGAAGCCAAUCCCAUAAAGCCGGCCUCAGUCCGGAUCGGAGUCUGCAACUCGACUCCGUGAAGUCGGAAUCGCUAGUAAUCGUGGAUCAGAAUGCCACGGUGAAUACGUUCCCGGGCCUUGUACACACCGCCCGUCACACCAUGGGAGUGGACUGCACCAGAAGUGGUUAGCUUAACCUUCGGGAGAGCGAUCACCACGGUGUGGUUCAUGACUGGGGUGAAGUCGUAACAAGGUAACC
rnacentral:rRNA from 1 species